AAAGAUCUAUAUUUUCAUUUUAUGCUAACAAAACAUCAAUUAAAUGUAGACUGAAAAAUUACAACAUUCACUACUAAUAAGCAGUACAAGAGUAUUAUCCAGCACUCAAAUUUUUAAAGUCAUAUAUGGUUUACAUAUUAAUGAAGAAUUAGCUCAGACAGAUGCAGGCUUUACACUCUUAAUUGGAUAUAAAAAUGAUUUUAAAGUUAUUAUUUUUUACUAAAGAUAAUAAUAAAAAUUCAAAAUUGAUAUAUAUAAUAUCCCAAGAGAAGGCGACUGUCUACUGGAUAUGUGCAUCAUAAGCAGGGGCGGAGCCACACUUGGGCUGUGGUGGGCGGUAGCCCGGGUGAAUCUGCCGCAAAUCACCCCACUCGCUCCUACGUCCACGACGCUAAGGCCAUGGCAGCGACACCCGCCGACGCAGGGUGGAGCCACACUUGGUCUAGGGUGGGCUGUAGCCCGGAAGUCUUGUACGGGUGGAGUGAUUAUUCAACCGGUACGACAUGCUUUCUCUGCUACCCCCUGCUUCAUAGGGCGUGGCUGCUGAUCUUGCUGCUGCCUAUUUUCUCCCUCCAUUUUUUUUCUCUCUCUUUGGUUUUUUUCCCUUCAAUUUUCUUUUCCUUUAUUUCUUUGUAAAAGAUUUCUACCAACUUUCCUCUAUAUAUAAGGGGCCGGAUAUGUUGAUCAGAUGUAAUGCAUUUAGUUUAGGGAUAAAUAUGAAAUCUGAUUAGAUUAGGAAGGAAUUAUAAUCUAGCAUGCAGAUAACAAGAUUUUAAUUCACCUACCCACAGGAAGAAAAUCCGUUGUUUUCAAUUAAUAAAAACCAAGAUUAUUCAAUCUGUAAAUCUAUCUCUAAGGGAUUUUGAUAUUUGUAUCAGAUUUCACUAGUAAAUGAGGAUAGAGAAAUUAGUAGAUUACAAAACCUCGUAUAAAACCCCACUUUUUUCCCUGUAAUAG
rnacentral:lncRNA from 1 species